rnacentral:rRNA from 1 species
GAUGAACGCUGGCGGCGUGCUUAACACAUGCAAGUCGAACGGUGAAGGCGGAGCUUGCUCUGCUGGAUCAGUGGCGAACGGGUGAGUAACACGUGAGCAAUCUGCCCCUGACUCUGGGAUAAGCGCUGGAAACGGCGUCUAAUACUGGAUACGAGCUGCGAAGGCAUCUUCAGCAGCUGGAAAGAAUUUCGGUCAGGGAUGAGCUCGCGUCCUAUCAGCUUGUUGGUGAGGUAAUGGCUCACCAAGGCGUCGACGGGUAGCCGGCCUGAGAGGGUGACCGGCCACACUGGGACUGAGACACGGCCCAGACUCCUACGGGAGGCAGCAGUGGGGAAUAUUGCACAAUGGGCGAAAGCCUGAUGCAGCAACGCCGCGUGAGGGACGACGGCCUUCGGGUUGUAAUCCUCUUUUAGCAGGGAAGAAGCGAAAGUGACGGUACCUGCAGAAAAAGCGCCGGCUAACUACGUG